GGCCUCAAAUCAGGUAGGACUACCCGCUGAACUUAAGCAUAUCAAUAAGCGGAGGAAAAGAAACUAACAAGGAUUCCCCUAGUAACGGCGAGUGAAGCGGGAAGAGCUCAAAUUUGAAAUCUGGUGGACUUUGUUCAUCCGAGUUGUAAUCUAGAGAAGUGUUUUCCGUGCCGGCCAAUGUACAAGUCCCUUGGAACAGGGCGUCAUAGAGGGUGAGAAUCCCGUACUUGACAUUGAUCACCGGCGCUCUGUGAUACAUUUUCAAAGAGUCGAGUUGUUUGGGAAUGCAGCUCAAAAUGGGUGGUAAAUUCCAUCUAAAGCUAAAUAUUGGCGAGAGACCGAUAGCGAACAAGUACCGUGAGGGAAAGAUGAAAAGCACUUUGGAAA
rnacentral:rRNA from 1 species